UACAGAGGUCUCAAGCGUUUGUUCGGAUUCAUUGGGCGUAAAGGGUGCGUAGGCGGCGCGGUAAGUCGGGUGUGAAAUCUUGGAGCUUAACUCCGAAACUGCAUUCGAUACUGCCGUGCUUGAGGACUGGAGAGGAGACGUGGAAUUUACGGUGUAGCGGUGAAAUGCGUAGAUAUCGUAAGGAAGACCAGUGGCGAAGGCGGGUCUCUGGACAGUUCCGUGACGCU
rnacentral:rRNA from 1 species